rnacentral:rRNA from 1 species
GAUGAACGCUGGCGGCGUGCCUAAUACAUGCAAGUCGAGCGAACAGACGAGGAGCUUGCUCCUCUGACGUUAGCGGCGGACGGGUGAGUAACACGUGGAUAACCUACCUAUAAGACUGGGAUAACUUCGGGAAACCGGAGCUAAUACCGGAUAAUAUAUUGAACCGCAUGGUUCAAUAGUGAAAGACGGUUUUGCUGUCACUUAUAGAUGGAUCCGCGCCGCAUUAGCUAGUUGGUAAGGUAACGGCUUACCAAGGCAACGAUGCGUAGCCGACCUGAGAGGGUGAUCGGCCACCCUGGAACUGAGCCACGGUCCAGACUCCUACGGGAGGCAGCAGUAGGGAAUCUUCCGCAAUGGGCGAAAGCCUGACGGAGCAACGCCGCGUGAGUGAUGAAGGUCUUCGGAUCGUAAAACUCUGUUAUUGGGGAAAAACAAAUGUGUAAGUAACUAUGCACGUCUUGACGGUACCUAAUCAAAAAGCCACGGCUAACUACGUG